rnacentral:rRNA from 1 species
AACGAACGCUGGCGGCAUGCCUAACACAUGCAAGUCGAACGAGACCUUCGGGUCUAGUGGCGCACGGGUGCGUAACGCGUGGGAACCUGCCCUUAGGUUCGGAAUAACUCCCCGAAAGGGGUGCUAAUACCGGAUAAUGUCUUCGGACCAAAGAUUUAUCGCCUUUGGAUGGGCCCGCGUUGGAUUAGCUAGUUGGUAGGGUAAAAGCCUACCAAGGCGACGAUCCAUAGCUGGUCUGAGAGGAUGAUCAGCCACACUGGGACUGAGACACGGCCCAGACUCCUACGGGAGGCAGCAGUGGGGAAUAUUGGACAAUGGGCGAAAGCCGGAUCCAGCAAUGCCGCGUGAGUGAUGAAGGCCUUAGGGUUGUAAAGCUCUUUUACCCGGGAUGAUAAUGACAGUACCGGGAGAAUAAGCUCCGGCUAACUCCGUGC